AUGGAGGUGGUGAAUGCGUUGAGCCAAGACUACUCUUCUUCAGUCGCUUCAUCCAUUAUAGAUGACUGUUAUUUCAUGUCAUUAGGUUUUUUCCAUGUCAUUUAUGAUCAUUGUAAUAGGGAACGUAAUCGAGUAGCUCAUGAACUAGCAAGGUUAGAUAGGUUUUCUUCUCCGAGUAUUUGGAUGGAUAACGCCCCUGAUGAGGUCAUCCAUUUUCUAUGGGUUGUGGUCCAUUCUUGUCGUAAUUUCUACCCAAUACCAGUUGGAAAUAUUAACACUUUUCCAAUUAGACUAAUCCACGAGUAG
rnacentral:rRNA from 1 species